GAUGAACGCUGGCGGCGUGCCUAAUACAUGCAAGUCGAGCGAACGGACGAGAAGCUUGCUUCUCUGAUGUUAGCGGCGGACGGGUGAGUAACACGUGGAUAACCUACCUAUAAGACUGGGAUAACUUCGGGAAACCGGAGCUAAUACCGGAUAAUAUUUUGAACCGCAUGGUUCAAAAGUGAAGGACGGUCUUGCUGUCACUUAUAGAUGGAUCCGCGCUGCAUUAGCUAGUUGGUAAGGUAACGGCUUACCAAGGCAACGAUGCAUAGCCGACCUGAGAGGGUGAUCGGCCACACUGGAACUGAGACACGGUCCAGACUCCUACGGGAGGCAGCAGUAGGGAAUCUUCCGCAAUGGGCGAAAGCCUGACGGAGCAACGCCGCGUGAGUGAUGAAGGUCUUCGGAUCGUAAAACUCUGUUAUUAGGGAAGAACAUAUGUGUAAGUAACUGUGCACAUCUUGACGGUACCUAAUCAGAAAGCCACGGCUAACUACGUGCCAGCAGCCGCGGUAAUACGUAGGUGGCAAGCGUUAUCCGGAAUUAUUGGGCGUAAAGCGCGCGUAGGCGGUUUUUUAAGUCUGAUGUGAAAGCCCACGGCUCAACCGUGGAGGGUCAUUGGAAACUGGAAAACUUGAGUGCAGAAGAGGAAAGUGGAAUUCCAUGUGUAGCGGUGAAAUGCGCAGAGAUAUGGAGGAACACCAGUGGCGAAGGCGACUUUCUGGUCUGUAACUGACGCUGAUGUGCGAAAGCGUGGGGAUCAAACAGGAUUAGAUACCCUGGUAGUCCACGCCGUAAACGAUGAGUGCUAAGUGUUAGGGGGUUUCCGCCCCUUAGUGCUGCAGCUAACGCAUUAAGCACUCCGCCUGGGGAGUACGACCGCAAGGUUGAAACUCAAAGGAAUUGACGGGGACCCGCACAAGCGGUGGAGCAUGUGGUUUAAUUCGAAGCAACGCGAAGAACCUUACCAAAUCUUGACAUCCUUUGACAACUCUAGAGAUAGAGCUUUCCCCUUCGGGGGACAAAGUGACAGGUGGUGCAUGGUUGUCGUCAGCUCGUGUCGUGAGAUGUUGGGUUAAGUCCCGCAACGAGCGCAACCCUUAAGCUUAGUUGCCAUCAUUAAGUUGGGCACUCUAAGUUGACUGCCGGUGACAAACCGGAGGAAGGUGGGGAUGACGUCAAAUCAUCAUGCCCCUUAUGAUUUGGGCUACACACGUGCUACAAUGGACAAUACAAAGGGCAGCGAAACCGCGAGGUCAAGCAAAUCCCAUAAAGUUGUUCUCAGUUCGGAUUGUAGUCUGCAACUCGACUACAUGAAGCUGGAAUCGCUAGUAAUCGUAGAUCAGCAUGCUACGGUGAAUACGUUCCCGGGUCU
rnacentral:rRNA from 1 species